CUAGUUGAACUGUUACCAGCUGUCUGUGUGACGAUGGCCAAUUCUGGCAAUCCCUUAAAACCAUGGCUUGAAAACACUAUAUGAAUAUGAAUAAAGCAAUACAGAAGAACAUCACAGAUUUCUUAUGCUUUGAUUCUACAAUGAUGUGAAUGCUUACACUGUGCCAAAAUUUAGUGAGUGAUUUUUUUAUACAUAAAAAGAAGGGCUCCAGAUGUCCUUUUCUCAGUGAAGUUGUUUGUCUAAUAAUUAUUCAGUUGAUGGGUCCUGCUAUAUAUUAAAAUGUUCCUUCUUAUCCUCAGAGCCAAUUGUGAAAUGUUAAUCGUGGUUAUUUCCAGAAUGUGGAAAUGUAGAUAGUGUCUAUUUUAUUUAAUUUAUAUUUGCCGGCUAGCCUUUAAAAAAUACAGAUUACUUUUAUUA
rnacentral:lncRNA from 1 species